rnacentral:misc_RNA from 1 species
GUGCAAGGGCAAAUGGAAAUCAUGGACAGAGAUUGGGUUGAUGUGUAUUGUUGGACACCAAACGGGAGCGCAAUAUUCCGUGUCUACCGAGAGCGGAGUUACUGGGAGUUAAUGCAUGGAAUUUUAUGGGAAUUUUGGUGGGAUAAUGUGGUUCCUGCUAGAGAAGCUCUUAUAAUGGGAAAUGAAGAGGGUGCCACAGCCUAUAAACCAACAUCAACACACAAAAAAACAGGACUUGUCAUUUCAAGAAGCU